GACGAACGCUGGCGGCGUGCUUAACACAUGCAAGUCGAACGGAUACGCCCUGCGUUUGUGUGGUGCUCGAGUGGCGAACGGGUGAGUAACACGUGAGUAACCUUCGCUUGACUUUGGGGUAACUUCAGGAACCUGAGGCUAAUACCGGAUAGGUGCUCUAGCUGCAUGGUGGGGGUUGGAAAGUUUGGGCGCGUGGGGAUGGACUCGCGGCUUAUCAGCUUGUUGGUGGGGCAGUGGCUUACCAAGGAUUUGGCGGGUAGCCGGCGGGAGAGGGUGACCGGCCAGAUAGGGACUGAGAGACGCCCCAGACAGACACGUGAGGGAGGAGUGAGGGAGAUUGCACAAUGGGCGGAAGACAGAUGCAGCCACGCAGCGUGCGGGAUGACAGCCGGCGGGUUGUAAACCGAUGUCCCCUGUGACGAAGCGUUAGUGACGGUAAUGGAUAAAGAAGCACCGGCUAACUACGUG
rnacentral:rRNA from 1 species